rnacentral:rRNA from 1 species
CCUGAGAGGGUGUACGGCCACACUGGGACUGAGACACGGCCCAGACUCCUACGGGAGGCAGCAGUGGGGAAUUUUGCGCAAUGGACGAAAGUCUGACGCAGCGACGCCGCGUGAGGGAUGAAGGCCUUCGGGUUGUAAACCUCUUUCGGCAGGGAAGAA